rfam:Scleropages formosus scaffold3207, whole genome shotgun sequence.
CCUGCUGUUGACCCAGUACUCAGUGUAGGGUCUGUGUGACAAUAAUAUACAGCUACAUCUGAUUACUGGGUCAGUAGUGGCAUCA